rnacentral:rRNA from 1 species
CUAGAUUAUUAAUAGAUAUUUACUUUAAAUUUGAAGAAUUUGGCGGUGACUAUAGUCCUGUCAGAGGAGCCUGUUUAUUAAAUCGAUAAACCACGAAAAAUCUUACUUGAGUUUGUAUACCGUCAUUAGCAGGUAACCUUGAUAGAGUGUUAUUAGGCAUUAUUGAGUUAGUAAAAUUAGAUCAAGGUGCAGCUUAUAAAUAAGCUAGAAUGGGCUACAAUAAAAUUUAUUUAUAACGGAGUAGGUGCUAUAAAGGAGGAUUUGAUUGUAUGGGAAUAUAAUUAGUUGAGAUGAUAUAGGCUCUAAGUCAUGU